UACGGGGGGGGGCAAGCGUUUGUUCGGAAUUACUGGGCGUAAAGGGCGCGUAGGCGGUUCGAUAAGUCAGCUGUGAAAACCAUGGGCUUAACUCAUGGCCUGCAGUUGAGACUGUCGGGCUGGAGUGUGGGAGAGGAGAGUGGAAUCCUGGUGUAGCGGUGAAUGCGUAGAUAUCAGGAGGAACACCAGUGGCGAAAGCGGCUCUCUGGGGACCACCUGACGCUGAGGCGCGAAAGCCGUGGGGAGCGAACCGG
rnacentral:rRNA from 1 species